AAUUGUUUUGUUCUUUAUUGUAGGAUGACACAGAUGAUGAAGACCCAAGAGAGGUUUAUGCUGAUGCUUGUGAUGUCCGGUUGUUCCUGCAAAAUAAACCAUGGUACUUUGGAAAAUUAGGCCGUAAAGCAGAGGAAAGUUUGCUGAAUGAAAUUAAACAGAAUGGUGCCUUCUUGUUGAGAGACAGCAGCCAAGCAUCAUGCACUCAUCCAUUUACAUUGACUGUUUACUCCAAUAACCAUUUUUACCGACUCAAAAUCCGACAUCUUGAAAGUGGAAAAUUUGUUGUUGGAGAGAAAAAGGAUUCAGAAAUUGAAUUCAACACUAUUCAAGACCUGAUCACCUACUAUGAAACUGAACCACUGCUUCUGCUAGCAACAACCGAUAACAGCAACUCUUGCACAACUCUAAAGUACAUUCCAGAGAAAUCUAAGACACCGAACUGACCUAAUUGACUGGUUUUCCCUACAACACAUUUGAUUCAUUAGCGUUAUUCCACAUUUGAUUACUUGAUGUUAUGUAAUUGUGACUGGUUACAGUAAUCAAUAUAU
rnacentral:lncRNA from 1 species